rnacentral:rRNA from 1 species
GACGAACGCUGGCGGCGUGCUUAACACAUGCAAGUCGAACGAUGAACCCGGAGCUUGCUCCGGUGGAUUAGUGGCGAACGGGUGAGUAACACGUGAGUAACCUGCCCUUGACUCUGGGAUAACUGCGGGAAACUGUAGCUAAUACCGGAUACGACCCUCGGCGGCAUCGCCAGGGGGUGGAAAGAAUUUCGGUCAAGGAUGGACUCGCGGCCUAUCAGCUAGUUGGUGAGGUAACGGCUCACCAAGGCGACGACGGGUAGCCUGCCUGAGAGGGUGACCGGCCACACUGGGACUGAGACACGGCCCAGACUCCUACGGGAGGCAGCAGUGAGGAAUUUUCCACAAUGGGCGAAAGCCUGAUGGAGCGACGCCGCGUGAAGGAUGAAGCUUUUCGGAGUGUAAACUUCUUUUAUGUGGGAAGAUUAUGACGGUACCACAUGAAUAAGCACCGGCUAACUACGUGCCAGCCGCCGCCGUAA